AGCGUUGAUAGUGCAAUUGGUUAAGCACGCGAUCCUGGAAAGGUUGGAUUGCGGGUUCGAGUCCUUGCUGACGUCA